rnacentral:lncRNA from 1 species
GGAGUCCUGAGAUGUGAGCCUGGGGCCUAUCUGAUGACCGUCCUGAGACCCCAGCCCCACAGCAGCCCCCAGCCCACCUGCCUUCCUCAGCCUGCAUGGAAGCUCCUCCAUUCCCUCCAGGCUUAAAUGGGAAGCCAUUUCCAGACAGGAAGUGGAGAAGGGGAAAGUCAGCCAUCCCAUCAGCCUUUUCUGGGCUCGUUUAAAAGGAGGCACGGUGGCAACUCAGCUUAUUAUGGAGACUCUUUACUGCAGCAAACACACUUGCUCUUUCUCUUCUAGUUUCCUCAUCUGUAAAAACAAUCACAAUUGUCCCCGACACAUCUCCACCGAGAGUUCCUGAAUGCCGUGGGAAUAGUGUGCUGUUAGGGGAAUUAUUCUGGUUUCCAGGGCGAUGUGUGUGCUGGG